GACGGAGGGUGCUAGCGUUGUUCGGAAUCACUGGGCGUAAAGGGCGCGUAGGCGGCCUUGCAAGUCGGUUGGUGAAAGCCCGGGGCUCAACCCCGGAGGUGCGGCCGAGACUGCAGGGCUGGAGGCCGGAAGAGGAGGGUGGAAUACCCAGUGUAGAGGUGAAAUUCGUAGAUAUUGGGUGGAGCACCGGUGGCGAAAGCGGCUCUCUGGUCCGGACCUGACGCUGAGGCGCGAAAGCGUGGGGAGCAAACAGG
rnacentral:rRNA from 1 species